rnacentral:rRNA from 1 species
UACGUAGGGGGCAAGCGUUGUCCGGAUUUAUUGGGCGUAAAGAGCGUGUAGGCGGUUUGGUAGGUCCGCUGUGAAAACUCGAGGCUCAACCUCGAGACGCCGGUGGAAACCAUCAGGCUAGAGUCCGGAAGAGGAGAGUGGAAUUCCUGGUGUAGCGGUGAAAUGCGCAGAUAUCAGGAAGAACACCAGUGGCGAAGGCGGCCGACUGGUCCGGUUCUGACGCUGAGGCGCGAAAGCGUGGGGAGCAAACAGG